AACAUGGGCGGGCGUGCUUUACACAUGCAAGUCGAACGAUGAACCGCUUUCGGGCGGGGAUUAGUGGCGAACGGGUGAGUAACACGUGGGCAAUCUGCCCUGCACUCUGGGACAAGCCCUGGAAACGGGGUCUAAUACCGGAUAUGACUGUCCAUCGCAUGGUGGAUGGUGUAAAGCUCCGGCGGUGCAGGAUGAGCCCGCGGCCUAUCAGCUUGUUGGUGAGGUAGUGGCUCACCAAGGCGACGACGGGUAGCCGGCCUGAGAGGGCGACCGGCCACACUGGGACUGAGACACGGCCCAGACUCCUACGGGAGGCAGCAGUGGGGAAUAUUGCACAAUGGGCGAAAGCCUGAUGCAGCGACGCCGCGUGAGGGAUGACGGCCUUCGGGUUGUAAACCUCUUUCAGCAGGGAAGAAGCGAAAGUGACGGUACCUGCAGAAGAAGCGCCGGCUAACUACGUGCCAGCAGCCGCGGUAAUACGUAGGGCGCAAGCGUUGUCCGGAAUUAUUGGGCGUAAAGAGCUCGUAGGCGGCUUGUCACGUCGGUUGUGAAAGCCCGGGGCUUAACCCCGGGUCUGCAGUCGAUACGGGCAGGCUAGAGUUCGGUAGGGGAGAUCGGAAUUCCUGGUGUAGCGGUGAAAUGCGCAGAUAUCAGGAGGAACACCGGUGGCGAAGGCGGAUCUCUGGGCCGAUACUGACGCUGAGGAGCGAAAGCGUGGGGAGCGAACAGGAUUAGAUACCUGGGGUAAGUCA
rnacentral:rRNA from 1 species